rnacentral:lncRNA from 1 species
UGGAAAAAUGCAAACUGAUCAUUCUUACUGAAUGAAAAGACAACUUAUGUUCUUUCUCUCACAGGGCAACUAUGGACCAUGCUUUCAAGAAACAGGAGGCUCUUUAAUAAUGAUGGUAUGAACAACUGUGUCCUGUAAGAUUUAUUUUG